rnacentral:rRNA from 1 species
AAGGCCUUGCGCUUUUGGAGCGGCCGAUGCCUGAUUAGCUUGUUGGUAAGGUAAAAGCUUACCAAGGCUUCGAUCAGUAGCUGGUCUGAGAGGACGGCCAGCCACACUGGGACUGAGACACGGCCCAGACUCCUACGGGAGGCAGCAGUGGGGAAUUUUGGACAAUGGGGGCAACCCUGAUCCAGCCAUGCCGCGUGAGUGAAGAAGGCCUUCGGGUUGUAAAGCUCUUUCAGCCGGAACGAAACGGUUACGGUUAAUACCCGUGAUUACUGACGGUACCGGAAGAAGAAGCACCGGCUAACUACGUGCCAGCAGCCGCGGUAAUACGUAGGGUGCGAGCGUUAAUCGGAAUUACUGGGCGUAAAGCGUGCGCAGGUGGUUUUGUAAGUCAGAUGUGAAAGCCCCGGGCUCAACCUGGGAACU